CUUCAGUGAAGACAUGAUGACGAGUCUGAAAAGGAAUAUCCUUGUCCAAGUGCCCUGCUUCAUGUUGUGUUCUACAGCAUGGAUUUGGAAUCUUGGGUAAGAAUUUGAGUGACUUGGAGGCAUUUGUCUGAGAAGG
ensembl:snoRNA SNORD15 Small nucleolar RNA SNORD15